CUGAGGAAUCUUCCAAAGAAAACUUCAACUUGUUGGGGAUCGAGGUGCAGUACCACCUGAUGCUGCACAUCCAGAUGCAGGUGUGCAAGCUCCAGCUGUGGGACUGGCUAGCUGAGAGAAACAAACAGGGCCAAGAGUGUGUGGGCAAGUUUGCCUGUCCUUAUGGCCAGUGUUGCAACAAAAAAUUUUCAAGAUUUAGUGGAAGGUGUGUUUUACAUACAUAACAUGGGUAUUGUAAACAGAGAUCUGAAGCCUAGAAAUAUUUUUCUUCAUGGCCCUGAUCAGCAAGUAAAAAUAGGAGACUUUGGUCUGGCUUGCCCAGACAUCUUACAAAAGAACACAGACUGGACCCAUAGAAACAGAAAGAGAACACCAACACCUAUAUCCAGAGUGGGCACUUGUCUGUAUGCUUCAUCCCAGCAGUUGGAAGGAUCUGAGUAUGAUGCCAAGGGUCUCACUCUGUUGCCCAGGCUGGAGUGCAGUGGUGUCAUCAUAGCUCACAGCAGCCUCCAACUCCUGGGGUCAAGUGAUCCUCCCACCUCAGCCUCCCAAGUAGCUGGGACUACAGGAGUGUGCCACUGAGCCCAGCUAAUUAAAAAAAAACAAAAACUAUUUGUAGAGACCAGGGCUGGCUUUGUCCAGUUAGAUAUGUAUAUAGCUUGAGUGUGAUCCUGCUAGAGCUCUUUCAGCUGUUUAGAACAGAAAUGGAGCGAGCAGAAGUUUUAACAGGUUCAAGAACUGGUCAGAUAUUGGAAUCCCUCAGUAAAAGGUAUCCAGUACAAGCCAAGUAUAUCUAUCACUUAACGAAAAGGAACAUGUCCCAGAGACCAUCUGCUCUUCAACUGCUACAGAGUGAAUUUUUCCACAAUUCUGGAAAUAUUAAUCUCACCCUACAGAUGAAGAUAAUAGAGCAAGAAAAAGAAAUUUUUCUUUUAGUUCUUUUAGAAGAACUAAAGAAGCAGCUAAACCUUC
rnacentral:lncRNA from 1 species